rnacentral:rRNA from 1 species
GACGAACGCUGGCGGCGUGCUUAACACAUGCAAGUCGAAGCCGGUUAAGGGCCCUUUCGGGGGUACACGAGCGGCGAACGGGUGAGUAACACGUGGGUGACCUGCCCUCAGCUCUGGGAUAAGCCUGGGAAACCGGGUCUAAUACCGGAUAUGACUCCAUGACGCAUGUUGUGGGGUGGAAAGCCUUGUGCGGCUGAGGAUGGGCCCGCGGCCUAUCAGCUUGUUGGUGGGGUGAUGGCCUACCAAGGCGACGACGGGUAGCCGGCCUGAGAGGGCGACCGGCCACACUGGGACUGAGACACGGCCCAGACUCCUACGGGAGGCAGCAGUGGGGAAUCUUGCGCAAUGGGCGAAAGCCUGACGCAGCGACGCCGCGUGAGGGAUGACGGCCU